GCCUGGAUGGCUCAGUCGGUUGGGUGUCUGACUUUGGCUCAGGUCAUGAUCUCACAGCUCUGUGGGUUCAAGCCCCGCGUCGGGCU
rnacentral:tRNA from 1 species